CUGGGUUUAAAGUGCGCGUAGGCGGACAUUUAAGUCGGGGGUGAAAGCCCGGGGCUCAACCCCGGAAUUGCCUCCGAUACUGGAUGUCUCGAGACCGGAAGAGGUAAGUGGAACUGCGAGUGUAGAGGUGAAAUUCGUAGAUAUUCGCAAGAACACCAGUGGCGAAGGCGGCUUACUGGUCCGGAUCUGACGCUGAGGCGCGAAAGCGUGGGGAGCAAACAGGAUUAGAUACCCUUGUA
rnacentral:rRNA from 1 species